UACGAAGGGGGCGAGCGUUGUUCGGAUUUACUGGGCGUAAAGGGCGCGCAGGCGGCUCAUUUUGUCAGGCGUGAAAGCCCCGGGCUUAACCUGGGAGGUGCGUUUGAUACGGAUGGGCUAGAGUUCGGGAGAGGAGAGUGGAAUUCCCAGUGUAGAGGUGAAAUUCGUAGAUAUUGGGAAGAACACCGGUGGCGAAGGCGGCUCCCUGGACCGAGACUGACGCUGAGGCGCGAAAGCGUGGGGAGCAAACAGG
rnacentral:rRNA from 1 species